rnacentral:rRNA from 1 species
GACGAACGCUGGCGGCGCGCUUAACACAUGCAAGUCGAACGGAAAGGCCUGCUUUCCCUUGUGGAUUGCGGGUACUCGAGUGGCGAACGGGUGAGUAACACGUGAGUGAUCUGCCCCCAACUUGGGUAUAAGCCUGGGAAACUGGGUCUAAUUCCCGAUAGGACUGCAGGGUGGUGCCUGUGGUGGAAAACGAUUUUCUAGUGGUUGGGGAUGAGCUCGCGGCCUAUCAGCUUGUUGGUGGGGUAAUGGCCUACCAAGGCGGCGACGGGUAGCCGGCCUGAGAGGGUGGACGGCCACAUUGGGACUGAGAUACGGCCCAGACUCCUACGGGAGGCAGCAGUGGGGAAUAUUGCACAAUGGGCGGAAGCCUGUUGCAGCGACGCCGCGUGGGGGAUGACGGCCUUCGGGUUGUAAACUCCUUUCGACCGCGAGGAAGCCACCUGGUUGGAAGGGUGGUGACGGUAGUGGUAGAAGAAGCACCGGCUAACUACGUG